UAAGUUAAUUUUUUAACUUAAGUGAAAUUAGAGUUUUUUUUAUUUGUUCUUCCCUAGUUUUCUCUUUUCUCUUUCUUGUGUUUUUUUUUUUAGCUACCGCAUUCCUCAGCAACAUUGUCCUCCACACCGCCGCCAACACCCCUCGCCAGCCCAGCCUGGUGCGGUCCGAUGCCCAACAACACGAGUCAACCUGUGCGCCCAGCGUGUGCACGUGCAUCUUCCAGCAGCAAGUCUUUGUGCGUUGCUCUGUCACACACCAUCGCGAAUCAUUAUACGAUUGCAAUAGUCAUGACCACCAUCGGACGCUUGCAGCAGCCAUCACAUACCAUCGAUCCAUGUCGAUCACAUAUCAGUGGCCUCUUUCGGGCACAAUUGAGUACCAGCAAGCCUUGUCGAUUACCAUCGUCAACAAUUGGAAGCAAUCAGGACCUGUAGAACCUUGUGCGCCACCAGCCGACGAUAGCAGCAGAAUUUUUUCAAUAGUUUCCCUGUGAUUAUGGCUGACCCUUCAACAUUCGGCAAGAUACUAACAUGGAGGGGGGAGACAGACACAGACAAUGAUAGGUCAAUAAAUAAAUAAGAUGAAUUCGUACAGGGAGGCAUUGAAGUAGAAAAGACACUCAACAUCAAUCAAGUAUGGUAUUUAGUUCAAAUUCAGAUAGUCAAAGCUAGUUUGGACUCAGGGAUCGUCAAGAGCAUCGUUACACUAUCGAUCAUUUGCUGGUAUUUUUAAAGCUUGUAUAUAUAGUAUAUGGCAUGUAUAGGUUAGUGUCAUUUGAUAUAUUUUGAGCUAUGAUGUUAGCCAUAUGAUUUGGCUUGUUAAUGAUGUAAAUGUUAGUAUGUUUUUAGCCAUUUAAGUUGGCUUAAGUUAUAUGCUUGAUAAGUGAUAUAUGUGAUGUUUAUAAUGCAUUAUAUAUAUAUUGGCAUGUUUUGGUA